GCUCGCCCCGCUCCGGCCCCGGCUGCACCCCCGCCCGGAGGCCCGCCGUCGUCAACCGUGGGCGCCCCCCAGGCCCCCGAGUCCCCAGCCCCCGCUACCCCGGCGCCGGCCCCUCUCACCCUUUCAUUCUCUGCCCGGGGCCUGGCGCGGGCCGGCGAAUCCCCGGCCUCACAUCAGAGUGAGAGGCGCUGGCAAUGGACUAGGAAGCUCGGCCGCCGCGGCUACUGCUCCCCCCUGGGCUCCGGCGAGAGCCUUUCCCUGUCAAGCAAGAGGGGUGAGGAUCAUAUUUUUAUUUUGGAAACUAAAAAGUGCUCCCAGGGUCGGUGAUUAUUAAGGGGAAAUCCCUGAAUAUACUCUCCAGCCAAGAAGGCAGGGCUGCCGGAGCUGCACAAGAAGAGGCAGCAGCCUCCUACAGCACCACUACAGGCACUGCGAGGACAUAACACCAGAGAGCAGCUCCUCUGCCCUCCGAAACGACAACUUUCCUACCAUCUUGGAGGCAGAGGAAAGGGGGGCCGGGGGGAAAAGUGCACCCGCUCCCGGUAAAGUACAAAUUUCGACUUCUCAUCUCUGGAAAAAAGUCCACACCGGCCGUCUACACCGGCGCCUGGGGGAAAAAGCGGGGAAGAAACUGGGGGUGCUUGAGAAACGUUUGCAUUUGCACCAGGGGGAAAAUUGUUUCUGCAUCUUCUGAUGGCAAGAAAUCUUUACAAGACACAGGUUUUCCGAUCUAAGUUCUGGGUCUGGUGGUCAGUUUAUAAAUUUGGACUUCAAGAGACUUCCUAGCCACUUUAUUUGUCUACUUAUUUAUACGUUUUUGUAUUGAUAUACAGAGAGAUUUAUAUGAUUCCUUAUAUAUAAAAAUUUGUGUUAUAUAUUCCCCUCCAAACUGAGAUUGCUGGAAGACAGUUGUAAACGGAUGUCUUUUGUCUCCUUUUCUCAAAGCAAUGUAAAUAAAACCUAUUGAUUGUCCAGAAGGGCAAGAUGCAGCUGUUUAUUUUUCACAGUGCAAAUUAAGGCAGAGAUCACUGGGGGCAUAAAUACAACUUAAGUAUAACUGACCACCUUUAUAGAAAUAAUCCUAAUGCUGUUAUGGUCUGCCCAUGAAGAAAUGUUACUGUAAAACUGGAAACAGAUUUUAAAGACAGCUUUAGAUUUUCUCUAAGUACAAUUGCUUAUUUAGAAUUUUGUACAGGCAUUUAAUUUUUAUUUUACUUUAGAUCCUUUAAGGUUUAGAUCUUUGGUGCAUUACACAUGUUGCUAUCCACUUUCUGUGUCGCAGAAUUGAGAAAUGUGUCUAUUGUUGUUAGAGUUGAAAUGUUAAGAAUUUCUAAUGUGCUGCCAAACUGUGUGAAGUGCUUUUAAUAUAUUGCAGUG